GUGCAAGAUUUGCAUCGUCGAAGGAUCAAACUACGUGCAUAGGACGCCCGAGCACUGCAGCUCGUCUCUAGCCUCAACACAAGCACGAGCCCAUGCAAGAAAUGUAUCAUCGACCGGAUCCAAACUCCUCGCAACAGGGAGUGCGCAUAAGCUUCCGCGACACGAGCUCAGGCAAUACAAUUGAAUGACAUGCCCUCGCAGUGCAACAUCUGCCUAAUAACACGCCCAAGCUCGGAGAUCAUCUCCAGCCUUAACAUAAGCAUACGUCCGUGCAAGAACUGCAUCGUCGGCAAGAUACGAGCUUGUGUGCCCAUGCGAGGCAGAUCCAAGAAUGUGUGCCUCGGCCGAAGGGGACGGCGCCUCAUGCGUCGGCAUGCUGCAAGG
rnacentral:lncRNA from 1 species